rnacentral:rRNA from 1 species
ACGGGUGAGUAAAGCGUAAGGACUUGCCUUGGAGAGGGGGAUAACCCGGGGAAACUCGGGCUAAGACCGCAUGAAGUCGAGAGACCAAAUGGUGGGACCAGCAAUGGCCAUCAGCUCUGAGAGAGACUUACGUCGGAUUAGCUAGUCGGUUAGGUAACGGCUGACCGAGGCGAUGAUCCGUAGCUGGUCUGAGAGGACGGUCAGCCACACUGGGACUGAGACACGGCCCAGACUCCUACGGGAGGCAGCAGUGGGGAAUUUUGGACAAUGGGGGAAACCCUGAUCCAGCGAUGCCGCGUGAGUGAAGAAGGCCUGCGGGUUGUAAAGCUCUUUCGGUGGUGAGGAAGGCCUUAAAGUGAAUAGCUUUAAGGAUUGACGUUAGCCACAAAAGAAGCACCGGCUAACUCUGUGCCAGCAGCCGCGGUAAUACAGAGGGUGCGAGCGUUAAUCGGAAUGACUGGGCGUAAAGGGCGUGUAGGUGGAUUUGCAAGUUUGAUGUGAAAGCCCCGGGCUUAACCUGGGAAUGGCGUUGAAGACUGCAAGACUAGAGUUGGACAGAGGGUAGUGGAAUUUCCGG